GGAGGAAUAUUGGUCAAUGGGCGAGAGCCUGAAUUAGCCAAGUCGCGUGAGGGAAGACGGUCUUACGGAUUGUAAACCUCUUUUGCCGGGGAGCAAAGGGCGCCACGCGUGGCGUUUCGAGAGUACCCGGAGAAAAAGCAUCGGCUAACUCCGUGCCAGCAGCCGCGGUAAUACGGAGGAUGCGAGCGUUAUCCGGAUUUAUUGGGUUUAAAGGGUGCGUAGGCGGGCCGGUAAGUCAGCGGUAAAAUAGCGGGGCUCAACCCCGUCGAGCCGUUGAAACUGCCGGUCUUGAGUGGGCGAGAAGUGCGCGGAAUGCGUGGUGUAGCGGUGAAAUGCAUAGAUAUCACGAAGAACUCCGAUUGCGAAGGCAGCUUGCUAGACCGUAACUGACGCUGAUGCUCGAAAGUGCGGGUAUCAAACAGGAUUAGAUACC
rnacentral:rRNA from 1 species